CCUACGGGAGGCAGCAGUGGGGAAUAUUGCACAAUGGGCGCAAGCCUGAUGCAGCGACGCCGCGUGAGGGAUGACGGCCUUCGGGUUGUAAACCUCUUUCAGUAGGGAAGAAGCGGAAGUGACGGUACCUGCAGAAGAAGCGCCGGCUAACUACGUGCCAGCAGCCGCGGUAAUACGUAGGGCGCAAGCGUUAUCCGGAAUUAUUGGGCGUAAAGAGCUCGUAGGCGGUUUGUCGCGUCUGCCGUGAAAGUCCGGGGCUCAACUCCGGAUCUGCGGUGGGUACGGGCAGACUAGAGUGAUGUAGGGGAGACUGGAAUUCCUGGUGUAGCGGUGAAAUGCGCAGAUAUCAGGAGGAACACCGAUGGCGAAGGCAGGUCUCUGGGCAUUAACUGACGCUGAGGAGCGAAAGCAUGGGGAGCGAACAGGAUUAGAUACCCUGGUAGUCCAUGCCGUAAACGUUGGGCACUAGGUGUGGGGGACAUUCCACGUUUUCCGCGCCGUAGCUAACGCAUUAAGUGCCCCGCCUGGGGAGUACGGCCGCAAGGCUAAAACUCAAAGGAAUUGACGGCUGNGAGNGCGAGACGACGACGAGGGAGAGG
rnacentral:rRNA from 1 species